AUCUCGCUUGGGUACCACCUGUUCCCGCUUGCACAGUUCCGGCUGUGUUCGGGGGAAGGCGCCUGGCAGGACAACUUUGAGGAGUGAAUAUCACCGCCUCCCCUGUGGACUGAGCCUGUGGUAUUGUCUGCAAAUUCUUUGACACACCCUUCAAAAGGAAGCCUUGUGACUGACACAGAUUUUCUCUGAUUCUCUGAAGAGGAGGAGCCAAUGGACUGGAGCAGCUCUGAAGACAUGACCCUGAUGGCAGAAAGAAGAAGAGGAGAAAAAA